rnacentral:rRNA from 1 species
UACGUAGGGUGCAAGCGUUAAUCGGAAUUACUGGGCGUAAAGCGUGCGCAGGCGGUUUUGUAAGUCUGUCGUGAAAUCCCCGGGCUCAACCUGGGAAUUGCGAUGGAGACUGCAAGGCUAGAAUCUGGCAGAGGGGGGUAGAAUUCCACGUGUAGCAGUGAAAUGCGUAGAGAUGUGGAGGAACUCCGAUGGCGAAGGCAGCCCCGUGGGGCAAGAUUGACGCUCAUGCACGAAAGCGUGGGGAGCAAACAGG